UGUGAAUCUGAUUGAGGUGUCCCAGGC
rnacentral:piRNA from 1 species